rnacentral:lncRNA from 12 species
UCUGCACACAGAUAGAAGCAAGCAAGUCAGUAGCAGCAGUGUACACACAAAGGAGAGCCCAAGAGCCUGCAUUCUUACUAGGAGGCAGAUAUCACUGGGGACCAUUCUGUAGGUGCCUACACAACGAUACUUUGUUGAUGUUCUGAACGUUAGGGCACUCACUAGAUCCUUGCUUUCUCAGAAACAGAGACAUGAAGUCAAGUCAUCUCCAACAUAUCACUGCGAUGUGUGAUUCUUGCAUAAAAAUUGCCAGAUCCUUGUGAAGACAUCAUCAUGGGUGUCGUGGAUGCAUACGUGUGGAUGAUGUGGUCUCUGCUUGAAGGAGUCUCAUCUUCCACGUGGAUAAAUUGCCAGCUCCUUCAGUCAGCUAUCUUCUAGAUUGCCAGCUCCUUCCAUCUUUAUUCCCUUUAUUGCUCACGGAGAAUGGCACACAGUAGAUGCACAAUAAAUGCCAAAUAGUGGAAAAGUAAUAGGUAAGU